rnacentral:rRNA from 1 species
UACGGAGGGGGCUAGCGUUAUUCGGAAUUAUUGGGCGUAAAGGGCGCGUAGGCGGCCCGGUAAGUCAAAGGUGAAAUCCCUCGGCUCAACUGAGGAACUGCCUUUGAAACUGUCGGGCUUGAGGCCGGGAGGGGGUAGCGGAAUUCCCAGUGUAGCGGUGAAAUGCGUAGAUAUUGGGAGGAACACCGGUGGCGAAGGCGGCUACCUGGACCGGUUCUGACGCUGAUGCGCGAAAGCGUGG